AGUAAAGAAGAGAUGUAUUCUUGUACCAAGAUUUGCAUUAAACACCAACCAAGAUGAAUAGGUAGGAGUAGAAAUAAUAGCAUUAAUUCUACCAACCAAUUUGUACUAGAGAAAAAAAACAAAUCUAUAUCUAACAUAAUCUUCACUGCUCCAGCAAAACAUGCGAUCAAAUCUGCAAUUAGCAAAAAAAUGAAAAAGAAUAAGUAUGAGAAUUAACUCUAUAUCAACUAAUAAAUUAUAUUUAGUAAUAAUGCUAAAAGUGAUCCAAAUAACUUAAAAGCAAAUAAAGUGCAAAAGUUAGGAUAUGUAUAUCCAACAUGUACCAAUCAAGAUUGUGGGUAGGUAUUAUCUUCUCUAACUAAAGCUUUCAUUCUCUUAGCUUGCUUGUGGGGUCGUCCUUUAUUUUUUUUCCUCUUGGUGCUACGAACACUGCAUGUGUGCCUCCUGAACAUGACAGUCUUCCUCUUGAACCAUUUCCCUUAGGCCUGCAAUAUUUUAAUGAUAACCAAGUGAUAAAACACAAACAUCAUUAAGUUAGAGUAGUGCUAUAUGUUACCUCCCAAGCUUCUUCGGUGCAUAAGAAGAGGACAUUGAAGCUUGAGAUUCCUCCACUACUGGAUUUUUGCAAGUUUUCGCAUGAUGCCCAAGAUCACCGCAACGCUUACAUUUGUGCAUCUUCUUCGAUGUAUUCUCAUCUGUACCCCUAAUUCUCUUCUUUUUAGGCCUUCCUGGAGGUCUUAGACUGAGCUUAGGAGGCAAUACCUUAUAUCCAAUAUCAACUUUUAUCCAUUGGG
rnacentral:lncRNA from 1 species